AACGAACGCUGGCGGCAUGCCUAACACAUGCAAGUCGAACGAGACCUUCGGGUCUAGUGGCGCACGGGUGCGUAACGCGUGGGAACCUACCUUUAGGUUCGGAAUAACUCAGAGAAAUUUGAGCUAAUACCGGAUGAUGUCUUCGGACCAAAGAUUUAUCGCCUUUAGAUGGGCCCGCGUUGGAUUAGCUAGUUGGCGGGGUAAAGGCCUACCAAGGCGACGAUCCAUAGCUGGUCUGAGAGGAUGAUCAGCCACACUGGGACUGAGACACGGCCCAGACUCCUACGGGAGGCAGCAGUGGGGAAUAUUGGACAAUGGGCGAAAGCCUGAUCCAGCAAUGCCGCGUGAGUGAUGAAGGCCUUAGGGUUGUAAAGCUCUUUUACCCGAGAUGAUAAUGACAGUAUCGGGAGAAUAAGCUCCGGCUAACUCCGUG
rnacentral:rRNA from 1 species